rnacentral:rRNA from 1 species
GAUGAACGCUGGCGGCGUGCCUAAUACAUGCAAGUCGAGCGAACGGACGAGGAGCUUGCUUCUCUGAUGUUAGCGGCGGACGGGUGAGUAACACGUGGAUAACCUACCUAUAAGACUGGGAUAACUUCGGGAAACCGGAGCUAAUACCGGAUAAUAUUUUGAACCGCAUGGUUCAAAAGUGAAAGACGGUCUUGCUGUCACUUAUAGAUGGAUCCGCGCUGCAUUAGCUAGUUGGUAAGGUAACGGCUUACCAAGGCAACGAUGCAUAGCCGACCUGAGAGGGUGAUCGGCCACACUGGAACUGAGACACGGUCCAGACUCCUACGGGAGGCAGCAGUAGGGAAUCUUCCGCAAAGGGCGAAAGCCUGACGGAGCAACGCCGCGUGAGUGAUGAAGGUCUUCGGAUCGUAAAACUCUGUUAUUAGGGAAGAACAAAUGUGUAAGUAACUGUGCACAUCUUGACGGUACCUAAUCAGAAAGCCACGGCUAACUACGUG